AUUGAACGCUGGCGGCAGGCCUAACACAUGCAAGUCGAACGAGUGGCGGACGGGUGAGUAAUGUCUGGGAAACUAGCCGAUGGAGGGGGAUAACUACGGGAAACGGUAGCUAAUACCGCGUACCAUAGGAUGAGCCCAGGUGGGAUUAGGUAGUGGGUGGGGUAAAGGCUCACCAAGCCGACGAUCCCUAGCUGGUCUGAGAGGAUGACCAGCCACACUGGGACUGAGACACGGCCCAGACUCCUACGGGAGGCAGCAGUGGGGAAUAUUGCGCAAUGGGCGCAAGCCUGACGCAGCCAUGCCGCGUGAAUGAAGAAGGCCUUCGGGUUGUAAAGUUCUUUCAGUAGCGAGGCGUUAUCUACAGAAGAAGCACCGGCUAACUCCGUGCCAGCCGCCGCGGUAAUUC
rnacentral:rRNA from 1 species